rnacentral:rRNA from 1 species
AUUGAACGCUGGCGGCAUGCUUUACACAUGCAAGUCGAACGGUAACAGGGUGCUUGCACCGCUGACGAGUGGCGAACGGGUGAGUAAUGCGUCGGAACGUGCCGAGUAGUGGGGGAUAACGCAGCGAAAGUUGUGCUAAUACCGCAUACGUACUGAGGUAGAAAGUGGGGGACCUUCGGGCCUCACGCUAUUCGAGCGGCCGACGUCUGAUUAGCUAGUAGGUGGGGUAAAGGCUCACCUAGGCGACGAUCAGUAGCGGGUCUGAGAGGAUGAUCCGCCACACUGGGACUGGGACACGGCCCAGACUCCUACGGGAGGCAGCAGUGGGGAAUGUUGGACAAUGGGCGAAAGCCUGAUCCAGCCAUGCCGCGUGUCUGAAGAAGGCCUUCGGGUUGUAAAGGACUUUUGUCGGGGAGGAAAUCCCCAGCGUUAAUACCGCUGGGGGAUGACAGUACCUGAAGAAUAAGCACCGGCUAACUACGUGCCAGCCGCCGCGGUAACAC